GCUUUUUCUGAUAAGACAUCUUGUCUGAGAAGGAAGGAGAGCCUGGAAGGGGAGAAGAGAGCAUCGCUGGACCAGCUGCAAGAGGAUACUUACGGAGGCAGCUGCAUCCAUAGGCAACAUCGCCAUCCUCCCAGGGCUCCUUCAGGUGCCCGGAGAGCCCUCAGCGGGGUUUCUUAUGAUUGCUGCUUUUGGAAAAGUUGAGUUCCUCAUUCCCCUGCAGAAAGCCUUCAUUAUGCUUUAAACAGCCCAGUUAGCAGUGCCCAUUCUUUCUCCCAGCUCUGCCUCUGACCACUGUUGUGUGAUUUGAGGGCAGAUCACCCACACGCCCGCCUCUUUCUCAUUUCCUGUUAAAUGAAAGGGUUUGAACACUUCAUCUUUCAGGCCUCUUCCAAUCUCAACACUGAUUCUCUGAGUGCAAAUAGAAAACUACCACAAACCUCUACCUAGGAUAGGAGAUUUUACCCAUUCCCAGCACAACAGAGAGAGGUUUGUCGGACUUCAUUCUAUUGAGGGCUGUUGCACUCCAUCCUCUGCAGAAGCUCUUAGUUCAAACUCUUGGUCUGUCCCACUGAGCUAGGCCAUGAACCAAGGGCUAGUCACUAGAAAAGACAGGCUCUGCUGUGGCCCUGCCUGGAAACAGGGGAAGGACCCUGGUGGUCCUUUGGACCAACAUCCCCGACCAGAAGCUAUUAGCCAUCUCUUCCAUGAUUUUCUCAAGUCCAAGUUUGGUAGAAGGGACUUUGACUAGUAGGAAGUUGUAUUUCCCUCUCAGAACUUCUAACUCUGUAAAACAGCAAUUGGAUUUCUGUGGCACCUGAAAUCCCUCCCAUCUGCAACUUUUUUGGAUCAUUCUCCCUACUCUCUUGAGAGUGGCUCAGCCUCUCCUCCUGACAGGUUCACAAGGUCUGCUCAGCCUGUGCACAGGCUGCCUUGGACAGCCUCUGCAGAGUCCUUCUGUGCCCGGCACCAUGCCUGCCCCUAUGCGGGUGCCAGAGAGGCAGGAGAUAGUCUUGUCUUUGUGGAGUUUACAUUCUGGCCAGAAGACCAGAAACACCAUCUGCAUGGCAGCAGCUCAUCCCCUGCUCCUUUCCUGACCGCCCUCUAAAUUUGAGUAAAUGAAGGCUCAGAGGAGCUGAGGAAGUUGCCGCACACCACACAGCGUGUAAGUGCUCAAGUGUCCAUGUGGGCUCCUGCACAGUCCAGGACUCCUGCUGCAUGAAGCUGUCUUCAGAAGGCAGGGAGAAGUGAGGUGCAGAGUGGGUUAUGCUGUGAUGGAGCCUCACUCUGUGAAGCUACGGAAAGUAAGGACUCCUUUUGUGGCCCUAUGGGGUCCCAAUGGGUGCCUGAGGUGAUGAUCGGAUGUUCUUCUGAGCUCCUUCCCCCAGGGUGAGACUGCAGGGUUUGCAGAGGCAUGAGGGCCCUUUGGCUUUCAUCACAAGGGAAAGGCCAGAUCAGCACAAAUCCAUCACUCCUUCUGGAAAAACUAUUCCUAGGCCAUGCCUGACUCAGCCUGCAGAGCUCAGCAGGGCAGUUUGGCAACCUGGCCCCUGAAGUGCUGCCUUUCUUCUGCACAGUUUCGGCGAUAAGAAAAAAGGGAUUUCUUCACUGCUCCUUGUAAGAAUAAAUGGGUGGAGGGCGCUAUGGUGAAAUGGGGUACAACCCCACCCCACCCUGCAAGGCUUCCCGCCACAUCAAGACCUUGAGUUUCAAGAACUCUUCAGCAGCCACAGCCUGCAAGUUCAGGAAGGUGGGAUGCUCCCUAGGUUCCUGAGCGCCACACUUCAGUUCUUUGGUUCUUCAGAUACUUUUGUUUACCCCUUACAAUGAAUCAGCGGCUUUCCAAGAGUUUUACAACUAGGACUUGAUUUUAUCUCCACAAUAUCCCUCAGAAGUAGGUACUAAUAUCUCCAUUUUACAGAUAAAAAUCUGUGAUGUCCACUACCAUUGGUGCCCAUUUGAUGCCAUGGCCAUUGCCACUCAUUGCACACAGGCACUGUCCUGCAUGCUGGGGAGACAGCAGGGAGUACGGCCACAAGCCCGUUACAGCAGCAGUGAAUCUUUCAAAUGAGAUAAUGAGCAUGAAUGUGUUUGAUAGACCAUAAAGUGCCAAGUGCCUCUAGGAACAGACAUUCCAGCAGGAAUAAAGUCUCAGCACACUGCAAAAGUUGGGUAACACUGCCCCAUGUGGACCAGAAAGCUUUGGACACCUGUCACAUGUGACUGCUCUGCCACAACACUUCAACUGGGAGACUGGGUAUCUUAGCCUUCAAGGUCCUGGGGAUCAGAUAGACCACAACACUGAUGCCCAAUUUUAACCAACCACCACUCACAUAUUCCAGCUCCCUCCACAGGGCCUGACCUAGGACUGGCAGGGUGCUCAGCAGAGAAAGGCCAGGUCCUUGGUAGCCCCCUCAUCCUGGGGUGAGCAGAGGAGCCCCUCUCCAACCCCUGUCCUCUUGAUCCUGAAUGCUUGUUUGCCUGGACUUGUGCUCAAAAGUCUGAGAAGCACAAGAACAUGAAGAAAGUUGGAGGGUCUUCAUUAAUUAGCUCUUAAUUCGUUAAUUUUUAUUUUCAAUGAACUGUCAUCUCCUGCUCCUUCAAAUGCCUAAGUCAAGAAUCUUUCAUUGUAUUAUAUUAUUUGUUUAUUAAUAUACUGUUUGUUUUAUAUAUAUUAUUUGUUUAUUAAUAUACCCAUAGCAAAGGGUACAUAUGUUACAAGGCUUAUGAGAUAGAAAGAAAAUCAGAACUAAGGAAAGGAAGACAAGUCAGGUAUUAGAAUCAAAAGGACGAGGUUUUUGCUUAUGUUAAUUAGCUUCAUUUAGCCAUUCCACAAUGUAUGUAUACAUAUGUCAAAAUACCAUGUUGUAUUCUAUAAAUGUAUAGAUUUUUGUUAAUUAAAAAAUAAGAAAUAAAUAAAUUAAUACAGAAAAAGACCCCAAAACCCAAAGGACAAUUUUUUUUUGACAAUGAACAAAGUAUCUAAUUUGCUAUUAUAAAAGCUAUACAUGCUUACUUAGAAUAUUGGUAAAAUAUAGAAAACAUAAAUUUAUUUAAUUUCUUCUCUACUGGUGAUAAUUUAGAUUGUUGCCUUUCCCCCUGCUUUUAUAAAAUCAUUGCAAUAAGUGUCUUCGUACACCUAAGUUUGUAAACAUUGCCAACUGUUUUCUUUUGCUAAAUUCCUAGCAUGACAGUACACCUAUCACGUUUUAUGCACAUGUAAGACAUAGACUCAGACCACUUAGAAUUGGAUCCCAAGUCUGCCACCUGCUAGCUGAAUGGCCUUGAGGGGUUUCUUAGGACAAUGGUUUCUUCCAGUGAAUGUGGCUAACAGUACCUCCUUUAUUGAAUUGCUAUGAGGUGCGUGUGCCUUAAUACAUGGUAAGUACUUGGAUCAUCACCUGGCCCACAGUUAACUCAAAACUCUUAGCUAUUAUUGUUAUUAUUAUUUCUGUUAUUGUUGCCAACUUGUCCUGAAAGAGUGUCCCAAUUUAAACUCCCACAAGCAUUGUAUGUGUUGAUUUCCACACACCUUUGUCAACACUGGGUAUUAUCAUUCCUUUUAUUAUUUCAUUAUUUGCCAACCUGAUAAGCAAAAUUGUUGCUUUAAUUUUACUUCCUUGAUUACUAGUGAUGAUUUUUUUGAUGUCUUUAUUGGUAUUUAUUUACUCAUUUGUGAAUUUCCUGUUCUUGAUUUUUC
rnacentral:lncRNA from 1 species